rnacentral:rRNA from 1 species
CUGCGAGUGAAGCGGGAAAAGCUCAAAUUUAAAAUCUGGCAGUCUUCGAUUGUCCGAGUUGUAAUCUAGAGAAGUGUUACCCGCGCUGGCCUGUGCAAAAGUCUUCUGGAAUGAAGCAUCAAAGAGGGUGAGAAUCCCGUAUUUGGCACAGACUACCAGGGCUAUGUGGUGCGCUCUCAACGAGUCGAGUUGUUUGGGAAUGCAGCUCAAAAUGGGUGGUAAAUUCCAUCUAAAGCUAAAUAUUGGCGAGAGACCGAUAGCGAACAAGUACCGUGAGGGAAAGAUGAAAAGAACUUUGGAAAGAGAGUUAAAAAGUACGUGAAAUUGCUGAAAGGGAAACGCUUGAAGUCAGUCGCGUCGGUUGGAAAUCAGCCUUGCUUUUGCAUGGUGUACUUUCUGAUUGACGGCUCAGCAUCAGUUUUGACCAUUGGAUAAAGGUCGUCGGAAUGUGGCACCUUCGGGUGUGUUAUAGCCUUCGAUUGCAUACAUUGGUUGGGAUUGAGGAACUCAAUGCGCCGCAAGGCCGGGUCUUUGACCACGUACGCAUUUAGGAUGCUGGGAUAAUGGCUUUAAUCGACCCGUCUUGAAACACGGACCAAGGAGUCUAACAUGCCUGCGAGUAUUUGGGUGGAAAACCCGGAUGCGCAAUGAAAGUGAAAGUUGAGAUCCCUGUCAUGGGGAGCAUCGACGCCCGGACUUGAUGUUUACUGAC